rnacentral:rRNA from 1 species
GAACGCUAGCGACAGGCCUAACACGUGCAAGUCAGGGGCAGCACAAGGAGCAAUCUGAGGUGGCGACCGGCGCACGGGUGAGUAACACGUAUGCAACCUGCCUGUAAGCGGGGAAUAACCCGUUGAAAGACGGACUAAUACCGCAUAAUACUAAAUUACUGCAUGGUAAUUUAUUUAAACAUUUAUGGCUUACAGAUGGGCAUGCGCAUGAUUAGCUAGUUGGAGAGGUAACGGCUCCCCAAGGCAACGAUCAUUAGGGGUUCUGAGAGGAAGGUCCCCCACACUGGUACUGAGACACGGACCAGACUCCUACGGGAGGCAGCAGUGAGGAAUAUUGGUCAAUGGACGAGAGUCUGAACCAGCCAAGUCGCGUGCAGGAAGAAUGUCCUAUGGAUUGUAAACUGCUUUUGCAGGGGAAUAAAGUGCAUCACGUGUGAUGUUUUGUAUGUACUCUGCGAAUAAGGAUCGGCUAACUCCGUGCCAGCAGCUGC